GAACUGAGAGGUUGAUCGGCCACAUUGGGACUGAGACACGGCCCAAACUCCUACGGGAGGCAGCAGUAGGGAAUCUUCCACAAUGGGCGAAAGCCUGAUGGAGCAACGCCGCGUGGGUGAAGAAGGUCUUCGGAUCGUAAAACCCUGUUGUUAGAGAAGAAAGUGCGUGAGAGUAACUGUUCACGUUUCGACGGUAUCUAACCAGAAAGCCACGGCUAACUACGUGCCAGCAGCCGCGGUAAUACGUAGGUGGCAAGCGUUAUCCGGAUUUAUUGGGCGUAAAGGGAACGCAGGCGGUCUUUUAAGUCUGAUGUGAAAGCCUUCGGCUUAACCGGAGUAGUGCAUUGGAAACUGGGAGACUUGAGUGCAGAAGAGGAGAGUGGAACUCCAUGUGUAGCGGUGAAAUGCGUAGAUAUAUGGAAGAACACCAGUGGCGAAAGCGGCUCUCUGGUCUGUAACUGACGCUGAGGUUCGAAAGCGUGGGGAGCAAACAGG
rnacentral:rRNA from 1 species